UCUCGACCAGCGCGCGCGUCGUUUCGUUCCGUCCUGUGUGUGUACCCUAUCGUGUAUUUUAUCGAGGCUUUUUUACGUGACCGACGAAAUUCCUUCCGUUCGUUUUUUUUUUGUUUUGUGCCGUGUUCGCCCACGCAAAAUCGUAACGGGGAAACAGUGGGACGUCCUAUAAAACAGGACAGUGAAUUCGGUGGUGUUUUUACAGUGUUACUUUUCUGUGUUUUAACGUUCGUUUCGUUCGAGAGACCACAGUUUUCGUGCCACCGUAGGUUUUUUACCACGAGGAAUUCUUUUGUGUUAUCCCGUCACGCAGAGGAUUGUUUCUGGCCGAGUACAUCCUACGACCGAUCCGGACAGUUUCUGGAAUGACGAUCGGAGCGGCGAUGACGAGGAUCAAAAGCAACCGCUGAUUCAUAAAAUAGCAGCCUGCAGGGCCACUCGCUUCCAAAAUGAGCACGUCGCUGCGAAUUUUGGCGCUAAUCAGCUUAGCCGCGCAAAACGUGGCCUGGCCGCAAGAUCCCGUACCUAGGCUGCACGUCAAACAUCG